CGCAACGUGGCGGCAUCCUAUACAUGCAGUCGAGCGGACAGAUGGGAGCUUGCUCCCUGAUGUUAGCGGCGGACGGGUGAGUAACACGUGGGUAACCUGCCUGUAAGACUGGGAUAACUCCGGGAAACCGGGGCUAAUACCGGAUGCUUGAUUGAACCGCAUGGUUCAAUUAUAAAAGGUGGCUUUUAGCUACCACUUACAGAUGGACCCGCGGCGCAUUAGCUAGUUGGUGAGGUAACGGCUCACCAAGGCAACGAUGCGUAGCCGACCUGAGAGGGUGAUCGGCCACACUGGGACUGAGACACGGCCCAGACUCCUACGGGAGGCAGCAGUAGGGAAUCUUCCGCAAUGGACGAAAGUCUGACGGAGCAACGCCGCGUGAGUGAUGAAGGUUUUCGGAUCGUAAAACUCUGUUGUUAGGGAAGAACAAGUACCGUUCGAAUAGGGCGGUACCUUGACGGUACCUAACCAGAAAGCCACGGCUAACUACGUGCCAGCAGCCGCGGUAAUACGUAGGUGGCAAGCGUUGUCCGGAAUUAUUGGGCGUAAAGCGCGCGCAGGCGGUUUCUUAAGUCUGAUGUGAAAGCCCCCGGCUCAACCGGGGAGGGUCAUUGGAAACUGGGGAACUUGAGUGCAGAAGAGGAGAGUGGAAUUCCACGUGUAGCGGUGAAAUGCGUAGAGAUGUGGAGGAACACCAGUGGCGAAAGGCGACUCUCUGGUCUGUAACUGACGCUGAGGCGCGAAAGCGUGGGGAGCGAACAGGAUUAGAUACCCUGGUAGUCCACGCCGUAACGAUGAGUGCUAAGUGUUAGAGGGUUUCCGCCCCUUUAGUGCUGCAGCAACGCAUUAAGCACUCCGCCUGGGGGAGUACGGUCGCAGACUGAAACUCAAAGGAUUGACGGGGCCCGCACAGCGGUGGGAGCAUGGUGGUUAUCGAGCACGCGAGAAUCUACAAGUCUUGACAUCUCUGACACCUUAGAGAUAGGCUCCCAUCGG
rnacentral:rRNA from 1 species